UCCAGACUCCUACGGGAGGCAGCAGUGGGGAAUAUUGCACAAUGGGGGAAACCCUGAUGCAGCGACGCCGCGUGAGUGAAGAAGUAUUUCGGUAUGUAAAGCUCUAUCAGCAGGGAAGAAAAUGACGGUACCUGACUAAGAAGCCCCGGCUAACUACGUGCCAGCAGCCGCGGUAAUACGUAGGGGGCAAGCGUUAUCCGGAUUUACUGGGUGUAAAGGGAGCGUAGACGGCAUGGCAAGUCAGAUGUGAAAGCCCGGGGCUCAACCCCGGGACUGCAUUUGAAACUGUCAGGCUGGAGUGCAGGAGAGGUAAGUGGAAUUCCUAGUGUAGCGGUGAAAUGCGUAGAUAUUAGGAGGAACACCAGUGGCGAAGGCGGCUUACUGGACUGUAACUGACGCUGAGGCACGAAAGUGUGGGGAGCAAACAGGAUUAGAUACCCCGGUAAU
rnacentral:rRNA from 1 species